rnacentral:rRNA from 1 species
GAUCCUGGCUCGGGACGAACGCUGGCGGCGUGCUUAACACAUGCAAGUCGAACGAGAAUCUGUGGAACGAGGAUUCGUCCAAGUGAAGCAGAGGACAGUGGCGGACGGGUGAGUAACGCGUGAGGAACCUGCCUUUCAGAGGGGGACAACAGUUGGAAACGACUGCUAAUACCGCAUGACACAUAGAUGUCGCAUGGCAUUUAUGUCAAAGAUUUAUCGCUGAAAGAUGG